rnacentral:misc_RNA from 1 species
GAUGAAGAACGUAGCGAAAUGCGAUAAGUAAUGUGAAUUGCAGAAUUCAGUGAAUCAUCGAAUCUUUGAACGCACCUUGCGCUCCUUGGUAUUCCGAGGAGCAUGCCUGUUUGAGUGUCAUGAAAUUCUCAACCUUUCUGGCUUUUGCUAGUCAGGCUUGGAUUAUGGGAGCUGCUGGCUUUUGAAGUCGGCUCUUCUAAAAUGUAUUAGCAAGAUCAUUGCUGCUCAUCAUUGGUAUGAUAAUUAUCUAUAUCAUUGAGAGUCAGUUUCCUUUAUUGGAAGAUUUUGCACCUAACGGUCUUUAGCAAGACAACAUUUGACGAUUUUGACCUCAAAUCAGGUAGGACUACCCGCUGAACUUAAGCAUAUCAAUAAGCGGAGGA